GAUGAACGCUUGACAGAAUGCUUAACACAUGCAAGUCAACUUGAAUUUGGGUUUUUUAACUUAGAUUUGGGUGGCGGACGGGUGAGUAACGCGUAAAGAACUUGCCUCACAGCUAGGGACAACAUUUGGAAACGAAUGCUAAUACCUGAUAUUAUGAUUAUAAGGCAUCUUAGAAUUAUGAAAGCUAUAUGCGCUGUGAGAGAGCUUUGCGUCCCAUUAGCUAGUUGGAGAGGUAACGGCUCACCAAGGCGAUGAUGGGUAGCCGGCCUGAGAGGGUGAACGGCCACAAGGGGACUGAGACACGGCCCUUACUCCUACGGGAGGCAGCAGUGGGGAAUAUUGGACAAUGGACCAAGAGUCUGAUCCAGCAAUUCUGUGUGCACGAUGACGUUUUUCGGAAUGUAAAGUGCUUUCAGUUGGGAAGAAAAAAAUGACGGUACCAACAGAAGAAGUGACGGU
rnacentral:rRNA from 1 species